AAUAAGCAUCGGCUAACUUCGUGCCAGCAGCCGCGGUAAUACGAAGGAUGCAAGCGUUAUCCGGAUUUAUUGGGUUUAAAGGGUGCGUAGGCGGACUUAUAAGUCAGUGGUGAAAUCUCGUUGCUUAACAACGAACGUGCCAUUGAUACUGUAGGUCUUGAGUACAGAUGCCGUUGGCGGAAUGUGUCAUGUAGCGGUGAAAUGCAUAGAUAUGACACAGAACACCGAUUGCGAAGGCAGCUGACNAAACUGUAACUGAC
rnacentral:rRNA from 1 species